rnacentral:snRNA from 1 species
GUGUGGUGGAGAGUAGUGG